rfam:Candidatus Falkowbacteria bacterium RIFCSPLOWO2_02_FTLL_45_15 rifcsplowo2_02_scaffold_3902, whole genome shotgun sequence.
GCCGAUGUAGCUCAAUUGGUAGAGCAACGGUAUCGUAAACCGUAGGUUGUGGGUUCAAAUCCCACCAUCGGCU